rnacentral:lncRNA from 1 species
GAGUGGGUUGCCAUGCCCUCCUCCAGGGGGUCUUCCCAACCCAGGGAUUUGAACCCAAGUCUCCUGUGGCUCCCGCAUGGCAGGCAGGUUCUUUUUUGCUGAACCACAUACAACCGCAUAUAGAACAAUUAUCUUUAAUAAACAGAUUUUCUUGGCAGCUUGGUUCUAGGUGCAGUUCACACUCUCCCAGGACUCUGGAGGAUGGACAGCUGAACCUGCUGGCCAGGUCAGGGAGGUCUGCCUGCUCACUAGCUUGAUCCCAGCCGGAUUUACUUGUUCCUGCAUCCACUGUUUGCAUGAAGAAAUUACACUUUGCUCAUUUUCUUCAAUGAUGGUAAUUAAAUAUUUCUGCUGAGUUGGCAACCUAUUUUACUUGAAAUUGUGAAUUUGUUUUAUUAUUCUAAAUAAAUAUGGGGUUUUUUUCUAUUUUUUAUUAUUUAUUUACCUCAAAUUUUAAUCAUUUUUCUAAACAUUUUCUUUAAUGUGUCUUUCCUUUUGUAUUCUCAUUUUUCAAAUGUUCUCCUUUCUCAUUGUAACUUUUUUUUUCCUUUUGUCACUUUCUAAGCAGUCAAAAGCAGGAAAACAUGGAAAUAAGCUGAGAAAGCUCCCAGCAGUAAAUGCGUUCAACCUGACUUUUCCAUGAAGCAUUUCAUAGACAGGAUCCACAGGAAAGGGAUAAGGGACUGAGAGUUAUGAAGGACUCUUUGGCUCCCAGAUCAAAUUGUCAAAGUUAGACAUUUGACAUAACCUCCCAAGGAGGCUCUACAUAUAGCCCAAGAAACAUGCAACAAUAGUAACAAGACAUUUAUCUCACAAAUUUUAAUCUGUAGUCCAAGUCCAUUACCUGAUCACACCUCUUAUAGUCUACAAAAAAAAAGUCAUUCACAUAUAUAUGUGUGUGUGCUAUAUACAUAUUUAUGUACUAUAUUUCUCAUAUAUGUAUCCAAUUACUUCUCAUUAAUAACAACAUUAAACUGCACUGUAAUUUUUUACGUCAAAAGGGCUAAUUUGUUAAAUGUAAGUAUAUAAGAAUAUUACCUUGUAUAAUUCUGUUCAGACGCUGCUUCAGUUUUAACUGUACCUAGAGUCUCAAGAAAAGCAACAAGAAGCAUUUCCAACCCUUGAGAGAAGCUGGUCACAGAUGAUAACAAAUGUGUCAUGACUAUGAGUAUGGUUCAUGCCACAGAAUUCUGUGUCACUUUUGACUCUUUAGC